rnacentral:rRNA from 1 species
GACGUAGGGCGCGAGCGUUGUCCGGAUUUAUUGGGCGUAAAGAGCUCGUAGGCGGCUUGUCGCGUCGACUGUGAAAACCCGGGGCUCAACUCCGGGCCUGCAGUCGAUACGGGCUGGCUUGAGUGCGGUAGGGGAGACUGGAAUUCCUGGUGUAGCAGUGAAAUGCGUAGAGAUGUGGAGGAACACCGAUGGCGAAGGCAGCCCCCUGGGCUAACACUGACGCUCAUGCACGAAAGCGUGGGGAGCAAACAGG